GACGAACGCUGGCGGCGUGCCUAAUACAUGCAAGUUGAGCGAUGAAGCUUGGUGCUUGCACCCAUUUGAAGAGCAGCGAACGGGUGAGUAACGCGUGGGGAAUCUGCCUUUGAGCGGGGGACAACAUUUGGAAACGAAUGCUAAUACCGCAUAAUAACUUUAAACAUAAGUUUUAAGUUUGAAAGAUGCAAUUGCAUCACUCAAAGAUGAUCCCGCGUUGUAUUAGCUAGUUGGUGAGGUAAAGGCUCACCAAGGCGAUGAUACAUAGCCGACCUGAGAGGGUGAUCGGCCACAUUGGGACUGAGACACGGCCCAAACUCCUACGGGAGGCAGCAGUAGGGAAUCUUCGGCAAUGGACGAAAGUCUGACCGAGCAACGCCGCGUGAGUGAAGAAGGGUUUCGGAUCGUAAAACUCUGUUGGUAGAGAAGAACGUUGGUGAGAGUGGAAAGCUCAUCAAGUGACGGUAACUACCCAGAAAGGGACGGCUAACUACGUG
rnacentral:rRNA from 1 species